UGUUUUUUCUGAUGACUGAUAUAGCCGCCCCAGUAAUAUGCCUCCAGGCGUUGAUUAUAGGCUUGGUUCUGAUA
rfam:Tetrahymena thermophila SB210 genomic scaffold scf_8254666, whole genome shotgun sequence.